rnacentral:tRNA from 1 species
GGAGGAAUGGCCGAGUGGUUUAAGGCGGCAGUCUUGAAAACUGUUGAGCUGAAAGGUUCCGUGGGUUCGAAUCCUACUUCCUCCGCCA